rnacentral:rRNA from 1 species
UAAGCCAUGCAGCCAAUGAGCCAUAUGUCUUAUGAAUCUGCGAAAAGCUCCGUAUACCAGUUAUAACCUACCGUAAUAAAAGUCAGUGAUCCCUCAGUGAUCCUCCGGAUACUGUUGGAAACGCUAACAAUAAUACGUGAAACAAUCGGGAUUCGAGGCUUGACGCACCUCCUUCCCCAACCAAGAAUGCGCAAAACGCAGGAUGCGAUCGGGAGCUCUCGCCACUUGAGGGCAUGCCGGAUGAGGGGCUAAUAGGUUCGGUUAAUCACUGGUAUGUACGCAUGUGACCUCUGCCGUGGUUCCGCGCUUCCCUAUGUUCCGAACAUGCAGGAAUCGGGUGAGAGUGAAACAAUCUCUGAGAGGAAAGCGCCCGCCGUCGGGCCUCCUCCGCGCACGACGGGUUUCAGACCUAUCAAUUGGUUGGUCUGGUAAGGGCAGACCACGGUUAUAACGGGUACAGAGGAUUUGGGUUUGAUCCUGGAGAGGUAGCCUUAGACAUUGCUCCCACUUCCAUGGAAGGCAGCAGGCGCGCAACGUUCUCAAUGGUUUUUAGUGACCGAAGACGUUAAGGAACAUAGCAAUGCUCCCAUACAAGAUAUGGGGGUAAUUGAAAUGUGGGCGAUUUAAAUCAUCCACCGAGAAACAAUCAGAGGACAA